rnacentral:rRNA from 1 species
AACGAACGCUGGCGGCAUGCCUAACACAUGCAAGUCGAACGAGAUCUUCGGGUCUAGUGGCGCACGGGUGCGUAACGCGUGGGAAUCUGCCCUUUGGUUCGGAAUAACAGUUGGAAACGACUGCUAAUACCGGAUGAUGACGAAAGUCCAAAGAUUUAUCGCCAGAGGAUGAGCCCGCGUAGGAUUAGCUAGUUGGUGUGGUAAAGGCGCACCAAGGCGACGAUCCUUAGCUGGUCUGGGAGGAUGAUCAGCCACACUGGGACUGAGACACGGCCCAGACUUCUCCGGGAGGCAGCAGUGGGGAAUAUUGGAAAAUGGGCGAAAGCCUGAUCCAGCAAUGCCGCGUGAGUGAUGAAGGCCUUAGGAUUGUAAAGCUCUUUUCCCCGGGAUGAUAAUGACAGUACCGGAAGAAUAAGCUCCGGCUAACUCCGUGCCAGCCGCCGCCGUAA